rnacentral:lncRNA from 1 species
UGUGCAAUAUUCAUUACUAUUCUAGGAAAUUGUUUGAUGUAUGAAUGCCAUUAACCCCAAACUUGGACACCCUCCACAACCAAAACUAAUUCUAGGAUGUCUUUUUGUCUUCAUCAACCUCUUCCACAACAAUUGCUUCCUCAUCCCAUGAUGUUUUUAUAACCAUAGUUGGAGCCCCCCAUUGGAGGAUCAAAAGCACAAAACCCACGUAAAAUUUGUACAUCAUGUUGCCAAACAAUGUAUUUAUAAAGACCACAACACAAGGUUAUAACAGCCCAAGCUCCUAAUGACUCCAUGGUCAAAGACAGUUUUACGCUGUACAACUUGUUUGUGCUUGUAAGAUGGUGCUCGAUGAGGAUUCACUUCAUUAACUGCAGCUUUAUAAGUUUAUUCUUAUUUUUUUUAUUAUUAUUAUAGCUCUGGUGCCUGACACAAAGCAAUUUUUGUGGUGCAGGAAACAAUGGUAAGUAGAGUAGUUGGAGCAGGUGAGAUUAUGAGCAAAUGAGCCUCCACCACAAGUUCAUCACAACAAUGCCCUCCUGAUGCAAUGUAACUUCACUUCCCUCUGCUCAACUCCACUUUCAUUUUUUUAAUAUAUUGGCAGCCAAAAUCAGGAACCACCAUGUUUGCUUACAAAGCCUAUUUCAGCUUCAAGUGUAGUUGAUAUUACCUUUGUGUGGAUAUGUCCAUGUCGGAUGGAUACAUGGCCAAAUUUCUUGUCACUCACACCCCAAAUUGGCCAAGGAGGAUUUACUUUUUAUAUUUUAUUUUUUUAUUAUUGCAAGCGGAUGUCACAAUCCAUGAAGAGCACAAGGCAACAAAACCCUAAUUCUUUGCACACUUGGAUUUAGGGUUAGCAAUGUGGUGGGGUCGUCACAAAAAUCACCAGAAAAUCCAUGUCUCUAGCUUGCUUGCUUGCUUGCUUGUAGUAAUGCCACAAUUGGAUUCUCAAGUGGUAAGCCCUACUUCAUUGCUGCUACAGUGCUGAUGCUGCUGCAGCUUCUGUGCCACUGGAGUGUACCACUGGAGCUCCAACAUCACAUCUGACCUAGAAUGGAUAUUUUACCCACUGAUAAUUCCACUGCAACACUCUCUCACACACACAUGCACACUCUCAUACACACCAAGGGUGAAGGACAUACACCUCACCCAUUGUCAACCCUAAAUGUCAACCCAUAGAUUUUAGUCUUGAUUUUUGAAUCUUAAUUGCUGAAGCUUAGUUAAAUAUGUAAUUUGAACAGGAAUAGAGUAUAUGUAUAUAUAUAUAUAUAUAUAUGUGUGUGUGUGUGUGUGAUGAUUUCUUUCUUGGGUAGUGGUCAUGUUAUUUUAAAUUAUUGUGAGUAUUACAUUCUUAAAAUGUUUAUUAUUGUAUUGAGUGUUACACUCUGUAAGUAUUUUUUUUCUAUGUUGGGCAUUGUGUUCAAAUGUUUUUAUUUGCAUUACAG